GGAAGACGUGGAGAAUGGGAGCAUGUUUACAAGCAAUCCACCAAGUUUUCAGGUUGAUGCCAUCUUUCCCACUUUCCAAACAACGGCUUUGAUAUCAUCUUGACAUGGCUGUUUGGAAAAUCAUAUGCUAUUGGCAUGGAUGGAAAAGAAACUAAAGUGAAACUCUGUGGACUUGUCACACUGGGCAUCACAUGGUGUGUCUGAGCCAACGCUGGCCCGACAUCUGCAUCCGGCAGCCACUGGGUUCUCCACCUCCGAGCAAAGGCUGGUGAGCGCCUGCCAGAAGGAUGCUGAGGGAUCGAGCUGAGCGUUCUGUCUGCCUUUCACAGUAGAAAUCCACAAUGAGGCUGAGAAUGUUUAAAACAACUAAAAUAAGCAUGUAGGAAAGAACUAUACGUUUCAAUAAAAAGUGAUUUAGAGACAUUCUGUACCAGAAAUUCCUGUCCAAAAGAAACAGGAUACACGGAAAAGUGGAGCCCUACUGUUUACUUGGAGGAUGUUUAUUUGCUGUUGGUGACCUCUGCAGCCACAUGACAAGAAUUUAGGUUGUAAACCUGGGCACUUAAGCUGCAGUGCUGGGUGACCGAUUUUAAUUUGACCUUUAAAUCCCAAGAGCAAGAUCAGGUUGGCGUGUGGAAUGCAGCUGUGCGUGGGGAGUCCAAUCACUGUGGCCAUUUUAACCAUCAAGAUGAAUCGCUGCCCGAUGAUGCCUUCUGAAGUGAUCAAUAUCAAUUUUCAAGGCAGCUGAAACAUCCCCAUCAGCCAUACGGUGGCCGGGCUCAGUGUGCCACGUGGAUCCAGCUUCUCAGCUAAGGUGAAAUGGAGGAACACACAACUGCUCGGGGCAUCGCGGCCACGGAGGCGGGAAUCUGGGUCACAAGGAUCUUGCUCCGUAUGGUAUGUUGAUGGAAGAAAAAGAAAGAAAUUAUUUCUGAGUAAGAUGGGGGAGUGGAAGUUGAACCUUUUGGCUAAAAUUAGGCGAGAAGCUUAUCAGCGGCUCAGCAUAAGAGCAAGAAGCUUAAGUGACUGGCUUUGCUUCUGCACCAGGUCAAGGAGCCCCUCUUUUUGGUUUCUCUAGCACAAAGGUUUGUCAAAUAAAUGUAUUUCUCUGCAUUUAAGCAGUUAUUAUUUCCCCUAACAUAGCAGACAAACAUUAACCCCAGAGCUGGCGCGAAAUAAGAAGGUUAUGAUGGAAUAGCACUUUGCGAGGGGAGCACUUGCACCUACGGCACAGCGGAUGGAAGCAUCUAUCUUCCAGGACGGCAACUUCAGCCACCUGCAGGGCAGCUCCGCCCGCCUCCCUUGUGCUGGGGCACCGAAGGAGGGCGCUGCGCGGCACUCUGCACUGCGCUUCCGGGGGCACGGCCGCUGUGAGGCCAGCCUUCGCCCUUCACGCGGUCAGGAGGGCGCUGCGCGGCACUCUGCACUGCGCUUCCGGGGGCACGGCCGCUGUGAGGCCAGCCUUCGCCCUUCACGCGGUCAGGAGGGCGCUGCGCGGCACUCUGCACUGCGCUUCCGGGGGCACGGCCGCUGUGAGGCCAGCCUUCGCCCUUCACGCGGUCAGGAGGGCGCUGCGCGGCACUCUGCACUGCGCUUCCGGGGGCACGGCCGCUGUGAGGCCAGCCUUCGCCCUUCACGCGGUCAGGAGCCCAGCAGAAAGAAGAGAGAUGGAAGGAAAUUCCUAAUUCAGAGUUAAGAGGAGGGAAAUCUGAGUGUCUAAAUUGAAGUUCUGCUGCUCAUUUUCUCAGUUUUCAGGGUGUCUAGGGAGAAGAGUCUUAGGAAUGUCCUCCAACAAAAGAGAAGGUCAAACAAUUAAAAAAAGGGUAAGUGUUGAAAAUAUGAACCAAAGAUUUCCUAGUGAGGAUGGAAGAGAAAGAACCUCUCUGGAAUUCUUUUAAAUGAAGGGAAAACACAACUGCAGUGACAUCUGAAAAAGAGUCCAAGGCAGAUGUAAAAGAAGCGGAUAUCAGAAACAGAAAUAAACAGGAGUGACAAGUUCGAAGUAACUCUGUCCUGAGAGGAGGUAAGAACAUCGUAAAGGGAUCCACUGUCUCCCUCACGGGUCGGCCUGCGAGGCUGACGAGCUGCUCCUCAGUGCGCCUGCGUGCAUCUGCCGCGUGGCGCCUGGGUUGGGAUCCCAGCAAUGGGAGGUUCCAUCCUUAUCGGUCAGUUCUGCAAAGUUGUUUUGAGGCAGCGGCAAACAAUGGCAUAGAACAAAAAAGCCUUUUAUCUCCCUGCGUUUUGGAGAUGAAAUAAAGCGUGGUUUGUGGGAAAUAUGCGCUGGUGGCACCAGUGACAACACAAGAGCAGUUAACACGAGGCGCUUCCAUUUCCUUACCUAGGGCGCAUGGGGGAGGAUGAUGAGGGUCGUCCUUCAGGUGCGACAGCCUCACCUAGGAGCGCCGCACGGCUCCACCUUUAUGAGGAAGAGGAUGGUGGGGGCAGUGCAGAGGGAGGACCGGAAAGGGAAACCAACUCCACAACGGCUCACCUGAGCCUCUUGGCCUCGGUUUUCUCGCUGCAGAUGGCAGUCAUCUCUUUCCCAGGCCGUUGGAGGAUGCAGUAGGAACGUCGCAGUGGUUUAGGAACUGUCAGACACGUGGCCACGCUCUGAGUGUGUUCCUUGCACGUUCUCUAGCUGAAGCUGCUGCUGCUCGCAUAAAGCCGAGCUCAUGCAAGGUUGGAGUGUUGCGGAAAUCCGCGCUAAGCUCAGGAGAUCCAGCUCCGUUUCACGGCAGACCUUUUGAAAAUUGCCAGGAGGCAAAUGUAGGUCUGAGGCCAAUUUGGAGGGUUUGCUCUAAAAUAGUACGUUUAUUUAUACCUGAAUUUGAAAAUUGUCUUUGUGCAACGGUCGCUCGCUAUCAGCCCAGAGCUGGCUUUCCACCCAGGCCUCGAGAGUGUAAUCAGCUGUUUGGGUUUCUCAUUCUGUGGUGAGUUUGUGAGUCCUGCCACACCGGAGUGAAAGGAAAUAUUUCUUCUAAGAUGUUAAAUUCCCACCCAAGUAAGCCGAUCAUCUCCCCAAACCUAAGGAUGUGUUUCAUUUAUUUGAGAAUGAAUCAUUCCAUUUCCCCUGGGAACUCGGGGUCUCUUCCCCGGGGUGCCUGGCCUGGCAGCUGAGGGGCGGUUGGGUCGUGUGUCUUCCCGAAGACUCCCUAACUGACACCUUGCAGCCCUGCGUGCCUGUCCUCGCUGGGGAUGGAUGGUGGCACCCAGGACUUUAAUAUUUUUUAACUUACUGAGUCCAAUUACCCUGCGGGCAGUUGAAAAGAUCUCACAAAGUUUAUUUCCUCCCUCCCCCUCGAACCCUCAAGAAAAAAAAAGAAAUCAUACCGAUGUUUAAAAAGGAAGCAAACAACCUUUUCUGAUGUCCUUUGAACUCCUGCUGGAUUAAUGCCCCACUGGCCUGUUUGAUUCACCAUUCUCCUACGAGCCAGAAGCAGUGUGCCCACUGUCCAUGGCUGAGGUGUCCACCUGUUGUGAGGCCAGCAAUGGUGCCAAGUGCAGCAGUGUGGGCUGCCCCACAGUCAAGUGCACAUCCCACAAGCCUUUUGUAUUAAGACCUAGUAGCCUUUAGGCCUCCAGAACAAUGGCUGCAAUGUGGAUUCAUUUCCUACAGCUGCUGGAACAAAUUAUACAAACUGGAUGGUGUAAAACCACAGAAAUUUAUUCUUUCACAGUUCUAGAGGCCCAAAGCCCCAAAACAAGGUGUUUGCAGGGCCAUGUUGCCCACAAAGGCUCUGGGGAACGAUCCUUCCUGGCCUCUUCCAGCUUCUGGUACUUGCCGGCAAUCCUUGAUGUCCCUUGGCUUGUGGCUGCAUCACUGUGGUCUCCGUCUCCCUCUUAACACCGUCUUCUCCAUGUGCGGCUGUGUCUUCAUAUGGCACUCUCCUCUUGUCUCUGUGUCCAAAUUUCCCUCUUCUUAUAGGACACCAGUCAUUGGAUCUAGGGCUGACCCUAACCCAGAGGGACCUCAUCUUGAUUAUAUCUACAGAGACCCUAUUUCCAAAUAAGGUCACAUUCCGAGGUUCUGGGUGAUGUGAAUUUGGGGGGACACUAUCCAACCCAGGACCCAACACUCCGAAGCAGAGCGAGGGCCCAGCAGGCUCAGCCCCUCCGGCUGCAGGUCAUCGCCAAUGUGACGAGCACGGUGCAAGAAAGGACUCUGCCUUCUCGCCCCUGGCUGAGGCAUGAAACAAUUCUUGGUACUAAAUAUGGUACAGGUUCAUUACACAAACACUUAUCAAGAGCUUACUGUGUGUCUGCCGUUUUGCCAGGCGACACGGAGGAUACAGCAGUGCCUGAAAUGCAGUCCUUGGCCUCGGUGGAUUUUCACCAUUUCCCUUAAUGAACUUCAUUCCACUAGUAACAGUAAAACGAGCAGUGAUGAGAGGCAUUCUUUGACAGUUCUUCCAAUUACUAAGAUUUGCGGUUUGGUCACACGUAGCCACAAAAAAAUGCCCUAAAUUAAUAAUUUUUUUAAAGUAUCAAUUUGUAUCUUUUGAAAUAUAAAAUAUGUUUCUUUCGAAAUACUGGGCCCAUUGAAAUAGCAGUUCUGAGAAUGAAAGGGUGAAGCACAGUAAAAUUCUAAUUGGUCCUUUUGUCUCAAAGUAUUUGGAGUGAGAUGAUCGGGGAAACGAUAUUACUAAAUACAAUAUUUUGAAAUAUCAUGCCCCUUCAUUUCAUGCAAUAAAAAGGAAAGAUAAAGUUACAAAUCUGAAGUUAUAUCAGGAAAAAAAUAGUCUCUGAAAAUAGCAAAAGAAUCCCAGGGUAAUGGCCCACCAUUUGGGUAGUAUCCCAAAUUCUUGCAAAAAGACAGAAAGGAAACAUGUGUCAGUAGAAACUCUCCCAAUUAUUAAGCUUCUUAGCUCCUUAUUAGAUUGAAUAACUAGAAAACAAGUUAAUGUUAAUAGUAUCUUUUGAUUAGACCUGAAAUCUUGUGCAUUGCUCACAACGCUUGGCCAUUCAGAAUCAUGUUUGUAGAAGUGACUCAAAUUCAUGUAAAUCAUGUUCAUAUAAAUUUUGUCUCCAUCCCUCUUCUCCUUCCCAUCUUCUUUCCUUCUUUCCUUCCCCUCCCUUCUCUCCUUCUUCCUUUUCUCUUGAUUAUAUUUUUCUUCAAUUUGCCUUUUUUUUUUUCAGUUAUGCUUAGGCCUGCCCACAGCCUCUGCAGUCGUUAACAGUUCUUAGUCCCACAGGUAACUCAAGGCUAGGGAGAGUCACCUAGCCCAGCGCUUCUCAAAGUCAGUAUGCCCACAAGCGACCUGCACUGCCUUGUGCAAAUGCAGACCUUGUCAGUAGGCCUGGAGUGAGCCCGCGAGUCCACGUUCCUGACCAGCUCCUGGUGUGUGGGCCACACAGAGCGAGGAAGGAGAUCCCUCGGUUGAGAAUCCAACAGAUGACCAGCCGAGGGGACGAAAUGGACAGUUACCAGGCAAGGCCUUCAGAAACCUCUAGAUGCGGGACGCAGAGUGUUCUCGGGACUCACGCACAUACCAUCAGAUUGGUGGGCUCCAUGCUCGCACUUCCCGUUGCCGUUUUAACCAUUCUCUGAUCUUGUCCGGAUUUUGAACAUCUCUCAGAGGAGAGGGGCAUUUCCUGGGACCAACAAACAUCCAAAUUAACCAUUGCCAGACCACCCACCAUGAUUCAUGCUAAGGUCACUUAGCGAACAAAGAAGAAAGACUGAAAAAGCCAAUUCACUGCUGCCAAGGAGGGUGUGUGCAAGGAGCUGCACAGUAUGAACACCAAAGCUUCAACGUGAGUCAUCACUGAUUCACCACCUUCAUUUUCUUCUUGAUGCUUAAAUUGUGUUCUCAAAGGCCAGCUCCUCCGAAACAACAGAUCCAAACUGCUGGCAACAUUUACAGCCUGUGGCAUUUCAGUUGAAGUGACAGAGCCAUACUUAAACAUUGGAAAUUGAAAAUAAUCUCUUCAAAUGACAGAUCCUUGCCUUUUGUUACAACGACCAUGUCCUUUAUAUUUCUUUACUUUAGGACUUUCUCUUCAUGUUAACAAUCAAGUGAUUACCAUAUUAAGGUUGCUGCAGUGUGCAAAUGGUUAUAAAAUAAAUGCAAACAAUAAUAAAUAUUCUUAUUGCUCUUCUUGUUACUAUUCCAAUAGUGGUAAAUCUGGGCCAUUCUUGACUGCUAUACAAGAAACAAGGUGAGACGAAAAGGAAGUCCUCGACAGUUUGCCCUAUUUUGGCUGCUUACGAUCGGACGCUCACGAGGCCAAGAUCAUAGGCUGAAUUUUCUUAUGGGCGCUGUGACUACAUAUCCCAUAUUUUUCUGAGACAGUCAUAAUUCCAGAUAUUGUUUUGUUAUUUUCAUCCAUUCAAGUUGGUCAGGCCAUGAGUCUCCAUUUGUUAUUGGAUGUCUUAUCUAAAGAUAUGUACCCCUGGGCAAGGAGGUGUGUCACAUCUUUCAUCUAGAAGCCUCAUGAGAGAGUGUGGAUCAAAGCAAGUCUGUCCUCACCAGCUUCGGGGACAUCCUAGUGGCGCAUCCAUGGUGCCAUCUUCCCGUGUAAGAGAGAAGUUUGCAGUAAAGGUGUGGUGAGUGGGAUGUUUAAGUGGUGAAUAAGUGAAGUAAAAAACUACUUUCUUUGUGAAGUCUAGGUGCUGAAGUUUUUCAUAUUCCUUUAAAUAUUUUGAACUUUAUUCUGGGACACAGUUAAAUUACUUGGAAACAUUUGAUCCUUUUGGAUCCAGCCUUCAAGCUCUGUUAGGCAGGACCAGAACAGUGCCGAGUCCAGGGCCAAUUUGGCCUCACUUCUAAGACAAUACCCCCAAGUACUCAGUGCUCCGUGCAUCAUGACGUUUCUCCACUCUGCUGUGGGAAACAUGAACUAUUCCCAGCCCUGCAUGCGAGCUCUGAGAAUUUUUCCAUCUGAUCCUUUCUGGUGGUUUUUCCUCGGUUUUGCGUAGUUUCCUGACGUGCAUGUUCUGGUCAAUACUCAGCCGAAACCUUGAGAUGGAGCCUCUGCAGACUGCUCCUGUGCGUCUUUCUCCCCUCUGGUACUCCACCCUGAGAAUUCUAGCUGCCUCAGCCUCCCCGAAUUCUCAACUCUGUCUCCUCAACUAAGGAGACCACCGGGGGCUUGGGUUCCCCCUCCUUGCACUGUGGCCUGUCCCCCUCUGCAGGCAGAAAACUGGGGCAGCUGUGGGGCCCGCCCUGUUUCUUUCCCUUCUCACAAGGAUCACUGUCCUGCAGUGCUUAUUGUCCAAUGUCUGAAAGCC
rnacentral:lncRNA from 1 species